rnacentral:rRNA from 1 species
CGGAGGUGCAAGCGUUAAUCGGAAUUACUGGGCGUAAAGCGCGCGUAGGUGGCUUGAUAAGCCGGUUGUGAAAGCCCCGGGCUCAACCUGGGAACGGCAUCCGGAACUGUCAAGCUAGAGUGCAGGAGAGGAAGGUAGAAUUCCCGGUGUAGCGGUGAAAUGCGUAGAGAUCGGGAGGAAUACCAGUGGCGAAGGCGGCCUUCUGGACUGACACUGACACUGAGGUGCGAAAGCGUGGGUAGCAAACAGGAUU